GUGGUCGUCACAGACCCUCCUCUGUGUCCUGAUGACUGAAUCUGGGCCAUCACGUGUGCCAAACAUUCCUUUUGUUUUUAUCAGACGCGACCCCCCGACGAUCGCAUGUACUAGUCAACCGUUCACCCUGAGUAAGCCCUUUUUAUUCGCUCACAUGUUUGUGUAACAAAAACAUAUAACCUUCAAUGGAAUAUAUAUUUGAAUGGCAGAAUUCAACAGCCGCUCAAAAAGGUCUUUUUAGUUUGCAUUCUUCACGUGUAUCUCAUGGCUCUACUGGUCAAGUGCGCCCUCUCUGCCUUGGAACACUUGCAAAUGAGGAUGAGUAUUUGCAUGGGCCCUAUCCCCCAGGGGAAACCCAGUUCCAGGCAGUUGCACAUCAACAAUGCCUGCUUUCACAUCGGCACUCCACGAUGUUCAGUCCAGGAAUGGUUUGGCAAUGAUCUGUCCUAAAGGUUUGUGAUUUUGAAAGCCGUAUUUCCAGUUCUACUGGUAGAGAGGGUCAUGUGAGAGUGACUGGGUUUGAAUGGUGGUUUGGUUCUCGGCGUAACGUUGGGUGAGUGCAGGAUUAGGCAAAGCAGGGGGUGAGAGAAAUGUGCUCUUCACUGCCCACACUCCCACACUCCCUGAGGGACUUACAGUAGAGGGGGUGGGCGAACAGAGCUUAAGGGUCAGGAGGCCGAAUCACAGCUGUCUGCCUGUGUUCAAGAGAACAGGGGUUGCACAGCUGAUUGAGUCACUGAUUCAGGAUCCAGCCAAGGCAGUGAGCCUAAGAAAGAGACCGAGGCCUGCGUCUGUUUAAGGGAUCGGUGGAGGGAGGGACGUGUGGGGGUGACUACAUAUCUUCGUACAUUCUUAAGUCUUAAGAAAAUAUUCUUUUUACCUCUGGUUAUGUUUUCGGUUCGGUUUGUUUGUUUGUCUGUCAGUAGGAUUACGCAAAAACUACCAGGCCGAUUUUUUUUUUUUCAUGCAAAUUCACCCCUUGGUGGAGGGGUGUAGCACGGGCCAGGGGGAAAUCCAUUUCGGAGCGGUUCUGAAUGAAGGGCCGGAUCCAGAUUUCUUUCCCACUUUCUUUAACGUUGUGAAAUAGGGCAUUUGCCCUUGGUCGGAGGUCUGCACUUCUAGUUUCAUGCUGGGUUCUUGUUUCUCUGAUCUUUCUGUGCCGUAAGGUCUACAUUAGUAAUAGUUAUAGGGCCCUGUCCACCUGCCCUCAUCUACCAUUAUCACACUUUAAACUAGAACACACACAUCACAUCACAUACCUUCACCAAGGCCCAACAGUCCCCUUCAAUGGCGUAUCUUGCAACAUUGGUGAAAGCGAAACUAAAUGUGUGCAUGCGCGCCCCUUUAGUCAGAUCGACUCUUCCUCGGCCCAUGCAACACUCUCCCAGCAAGUUUCAUGAAAAUAGAGCCAGUAGUUUUUUUGCGUAAUCCUGCUAACAAACAAACAAAUGGACAGAGGCGGAGGUAAACAUACUGGGUUGUUGGGUUAUUUGAACUCAUUCUGGGUUCAUUUCUGUAACCCAGCAGCUGGCUAGUAGCUCCGUUGUGACAUUAUUUGUGCUAUGUAACAAGUUGAAAAAAGGCGCUAUUCUUCUAACCGUCCUGUCCAGCAGUUUUCAUCGUGCACAGGAAAACGGGCCGUAUAUGGAGUGAAAUAAAGAUCUAACGUUACCCCAAAAAUGGAUGGGACAGUGGAAUUCCCCCUCAUGAUGGAAAGUAACUAACACUUACUUUUUAAAGAUACGCCUGUUAUGUUGUAAAAUAAAAAUCAAUUGUCUGAA